rnacentral:rRNA from 1 species
AUUGAACGCUGGCGGCAGGCCUAACACAUGCAAGUCGAGCGAGCGGCGGACGGGUGAGUAAUGUCUGGGAAACUGCCUGAUGGAGGGGGAUAACUACUGGAAACGGUAGCUAAUACCGCAUACCAUCAGAUGUGCCCAGAUGGGAUUAGCUGGUAGGUGGGGUAACGGCUCACCUAGGCGCCGCGCCCUAGCUGGUCUGAGAGGAUGACCAGCCACACUGGAACUGAGAAACGGCCCAGACUCCUAGGGGAGGCAGCAUGGGGGAAUAUUGCACAAUGGGCGCAAGCCUGAGGCAGCCAUGCCGCGUGUAUGAAGAAGGCCUUCGGGUUGUAAAGUACUUUCAGCGAGGAGGCGUUACUCGCAGAAGAAGCACCGGCUAACUCCGUGCCAGCAGCCGCGGUAUAC